AGGCGUUUUGCACGGCUUGUUGAGAAUUGAAUAAUUUUCCUUAUAAGAAGUGGUCCAAAGCCUGGAAGAAGUGGUAGUAAGUUGGUGCAAGGGCUGGAACUUCGGUAGUUUCUUGUCAGCCACCGCAGCUGGUCCCCGAGUACCAAGUACUGCCGAAGCCCCUACUCCAGGGCCCCGGGUGCCUGAAGCCUUUACCUUCCCAUUUGCGUGAGGAGCUGGGCGGGGCAGCCCUGACACUGGUCUCCUUUCUGCAGUAGGACCAGCAAGAAGUGACUGUUGUGACUCUGAAGUCACUGAGACUUUAGGAUCGUUUGUUACCACGGCACAACCUAGUGAAAACUCACAAAUACUAAGUAAGAAUGGCCCUUAACCCUGUCUUUCAUAGGUAAGGAAUAAAGGAAUGUCCCUUUGUCUCAC